GAGACAGCAGUAGCGCGGGAAUACGAAGGGGGCUAGCGUUGUUCGGAUUUACUGGGCGUAAAGCGCACGUAGGCGGACUUUUAAGUCAGGGGUGAAAUCCCGGGGCUCAACCCCGGAACUGCCUUUGAUACUGGAAGUCUUGAGUAUGGUAGAGGUGAGUGGAAUUCCGAGUGUAGAGGUGAAAUUCGUAGAUAUUCGGAGGAACACCAGUGGCGAAGGCGGCUCACUGGACCAUUACUGACGCUGAGGUGCGAAAGCGUGGGGAGCAAACAGGAUUAGAUACCCCCGUAGUCCCUGUCUCUUAUACA
rnacentral:rRNA from 1 species